GACGAACGCUGGCGGCGUGCUUAACACAUGCAAGUCGAACGGAAAGGCCCUGCUUUUGUGGGGUGCUCGAGUGGCGAACGGGUGAGUAACACGUGAGUAACCUGCCCUUGACUUUGGGAUAACUUCAGGAAACUGGGGCUAAUACCGGGUAUGAUCUCCUGCUGCAUGUGGGUGGUUGGAAAGUUUCGGCGGUUGGGGAUGGACUCGCGGCUUAUCAGCUUGUUGGUGGGGUAGGGGCUUACCAAGGCUUUGACGGGUAGCCGGCCUGGGAGGGUGACCGGCCACAUUGGGACUGAGAUACGGCCCAGACUCCUACGGGAGGCAGAAGUGGGGAAUAUUGCACAAUGGGCGGAAGCCUGAUGCAGCAACGCCGCGUGCGGGAUGACGGCCUUCGGGUUGUAAACCGCUUUCGACUGUGACGAAGCGUGAGUGACGGUAAUGGGUAAAGAAGCACCGGCUAACUACGUG
rnacentral:rRNA from 1 species